rnacentral:rRNA from 1 species
UCCAGACUCCUACGGGAGGCAGCAGUGGGGAAUAUUGGACAAUGGGGGAACCCUGAUCCAGCGACGCCGCGUGAGUGAAGAAGUAUUUCGGUAUGUAAAGCUCUAUCAGCAGGGAAGAAAAUGACGGUACCUGAUUAAGAAGCCCCGGCUAACUACGUGCCAGCAGCCGCGGUAAUACGGAGGAUGCGAGCGUUAUCCGGAUUUAUUGGGUUUAAAGGGUGCGCAGGCGGUCUGUUAAGUCAGCGGUCAAAGCCCGGGGCUCAACCCCGGGGCUGCCGUUGAAACCGGAGCGCUAGAAUUCCGAUGCCGUCGGAGGAAUGUGUGGUGUAGCGGUGAAAUGCUUAGAUAUCACGAAGAACCCCGAUUGCGAAGGCAGCCUGCCGCAGCGUUACUGACGCUGAAGCUCGAAAGUGCGGGUAUCGAACAGGAUUAGAUACCCCUGUACA